rnacentral:misc_RNA from 1 species
GACCAGCGUCGGUAGGAAACCGACCAAUCAAAAUUAGGCAUCUGUGAUAAUGAAAUUCUACAAAAUGAACUAAUAUUCCGUUCCAUCAUUGGAUAGCUGUACAUUGUUUUUGGAAGUACAUGUAUGUUAUUGGGUGAUGUUAAUGGCAGAACAUGUAUGGUAAUGAACUAUUUUAAUGGAUUGUCAAUUUGUGUAAAUAAUGGUCGGCAGUGGACAAAAGCCAUUACUUUCUCAUGAAUUCUUUUUUCUCAGUGUAAGUGUGUGUGUGUGUGUGUGUGUGAAUGAGAGAGAAAAGAGUGUGUGAUUGUUUAGGAAGAAAGGAAUGUUGGCAUAUCUGAUAACCCUCAAGGAGUCUUUUUUUAAACAGUACCUGUAUUCUCCUUUGCUGCAUUUUGUUUGGUAUUGUAACUGGAUAAAGCUGAUUGACGUGGUAGUGAUAUUCUGGGUAUAUAAUACAUUGCGUUCUGUGAUGUCUGUUUCCUUACUCUGCUAUGCAGGUGAACUGACUAUAAAUCCCCAGUAUUAGUGUAUAUAUACUGAUUAUUGCUGCAGUGUAUGGAUGUUUAUAGAGAUGAUGCCUAUUUCUCUAUAAUCAAGUGCUAUUAGUGUCGCUAUAUUUUAUUUCUUAUCUUAAAAAUGUAAAAGAAGUUAAAUUAUUAAAAGACACUCUUUACAAGUAAGCCUGUCUGUUUUUCAGAUUGACAGAUGUUUGAACUUUUUAGACUCUCCAUGUUUUGAAGAGAGGAUUAAGAUAAAAUGUUUGUCUCUUUCUGAAACCCAUGUUUGCGUAAAUCAUGCCAUUUAUACAAGAUAUUUAAUCUGUGACACAAUAAAUAAGAA